UACGGAGGGUGCAAGCGUUAUCCGGAUUCACUGGGUUUAAAGGGUGCGUAGGUGGGUUGAUAAGUCAGUGGUGAAAUCCCCGAGCUUAACUUGGGAACUGCCAUUGAUACUAUUGAUCUUGAAUACCGUGGAGGUCAGCGGAAUAUGUCAUGUAGCGGUGAAAUGCUUAGAUAUGACAUAGAACACCAAUUGCGAAGGCAGCUGGCUACGCGAAUAUUGACACUGAUGCACGAAAGCGUUGGGGAUCAAACAGG
rnacentral:rRNA from 1 species